UGAUCGUGCUUAUGAGACACCAAAAUACGGGAUUCUCAUAAGCACGCUAAAAUAUGCAUAUAUGAUCGUGCUUAUGAGACACCAAAAUACGGGAUUCUCAUAAGCACGCUAAAAUAUGCAUAUAUGAGCGUGCUUAUGAGACACCAGAAUACGCAGGAUUCUCAUAAGCACGCUAAAAUAUGCAUAUAUGAGCGUGCUUAUGAGACACCAGAAUACGCAGGAUUCUUCAUAAGCACGCUAAUACAAGCAUAUAUGAUCGUGCUUAUGAGACACCAGAAUACGCAGGAUUCUUCUCAUAAGCACGCUAAAAUAUGCAUAUAUGAUCGUGCUUAUGAGACACCAGAAUACGCAGGAUUCUCAUAAGCACG